ACGAACGCUGGCGGCAUGCCUAACACAUGCAAGUCGCACGAGACCUUCGGGUCUAGUGGCGCACGGGUGCGUAACGCGUGGGAACCUGCCCUUAGGUUCGGAAUAACUCCCCGAAAGGGGUGCUAAUACCGGAUAAUGUCUUCGGACCAAAGAUUUAUCGCCUUUGGAUGGGCCCGCGUUGGAUUAGCUAGUUGGUAGGGUAAAAGCCUACCAAGGCGACGAUCCAUAGCUGGUCUGAGAGGAUGAUCAGCCACACUGGGACUGAGACACGGCUCAGACUCCUACGGGAGGCAGCAGUGGGGAAUAUUGGACAAUGGGCGAAAGCCUGAUCCAGCAAUGCCGCGUGAGUGAUGAAGGCCUUAGGGUUGUAAAGCUCUUUUACCCGGGAUGAUAAUGACAGUACCGGGAGAAUAAGCUCCGGCUAACUCCGUG
rnacentral:rRNA from 1 species